AGAGUUUGAUCCCGGCUUAGAACGAACGCUGGCGGCGUGUUUAAUAUAUGUAAGUUGAGCGAGAAAGGGGCUUUGGCUCCGAGUAAAGCGGUGUAUGGGUGUGUAAUAUGUGGGUAAUUUUUCUCCGGGUUGGGAAUAACUCUUCGAAAGGAGAGUUAAUACCGAAUAAGCCCACGUCCCCUUAGGGGGAUGAGGGAAAAGGUGGCUUUUGUAUGUAAGCUAUCGCCUGGAGAUGAGCCCGCGGCCCAUCAUGUUAGUUGGUGGGGUAAUGGCCCACCAAGGUUAUGACGGGUAGCUGGUCUGAGAGGAUGAUCAGCCACACUGGAAUUGAGAUAUGGUUUAGAUUCCUAUGGGAGGUAGUAGUGGGGAAUUUUGUGCAAUGGGCGAAAGCCUGAUGUAGCAACGCCGCGUGAGUGAUGAAGGCCUUUGGGUCGUAAAGCUCUCUCAGGAGGGACGAAAUCGCUCCGGGAUAAUAAACCGGAGUUUUGAUGGUACCUUCAGAAGAAGCACCGGUUAACUCUGUGUUAGUAGUUGUGGUAAUACAGAGGGUGCAAGCGUUGUUCGGAAUUAUUGGGCGUAAAGCGCGUGUAGGCGGCAAGGUAUGUCGGGUGUGAAAGUCCUCGGUUUAACCGAGGAAGUGCGCCCGAAAUUAUUUUGCUUGAGUACCGGAGAGGAUGGCGGAAUUCCCGGUGUAGAGGUGAAAUUUGUAGAUAUUGGGAAGAACACCAGUGGUGAAGGCGGCCAUCUGGACGGAUACUGGUGCUGAGACGCGAAAGCGUGGGGAGUAAAUAGGAUUAGAUAUCCUGGUAGUCCACGCUGUAAAUGAUGGGCACUAGGUGUCGUGGGUGUUGAUCCCCGCGGUGCCGUAGUUAAUGUAUUAAGUGCCCCGCCUGGGAAGUAUGGCCGCAAGGCUAAAACUCAAAGGAAUUGACGGGGGCUUGUAUAAGCGGUGGAGCAUGUGGUUUAAUUUGAUCCAUGUGCAGAAUUUUACCCAGACUUGAUAUCCUGAGAACCUCCCAGAGAUGGGGGGGUGCCCGUAAGGGAGCUUAGAGAUAGGUGCUGUAUGGCUGUCGUCAGCUCGUGUUGUGAGAUGUUGGGUUAAGUCCCGCAAUGAGUGUAACCCUCGCCUUUAGUUGCCAUUAUUUAGUUGGGCAUUCUAAAGGGACUGCCGGUGUUAAACCGGAGGAAGGUGGGGAUGACGUCAAGUCUUUACGGCCUUUAUGUCUGGGGCCACAUAUGUGCUAUAAUGGUCGGUAUAGAGGGUUGCGAUGCCGUGAGGCGGAGCUAAUUUUAGAAAACCGAUCUUAGUUCGGAUUGGAGUCUGUAAUUUGACUCCAUGAAGUUGGAAUCGCUAGUAAUCGCGGAUUAGUAUGCCGCGGUGAAUACGUUCCCGGGCCUUGUAUACACCGCCCGUUACAUUAUGGGAGUCAGUUGCUCCAGAAGUUGUUGU
rnacentral:rRNA from 1 species